AUCAUGGGGAAUUCAAAAGAUAGUGUUGUGCUGUGCAGUCCGCGUUUCAUAGUUAAUAAGUAAUAUCCUCUUCACUCCUUUUCUUUUUCUGCCAGUAAAUUGAGCUUGGCAGGCCUGUUAUUUUCCUUAUAAUGCCAACUGAUGAAAUUGCCUCCCAAAUGCAAGCCAUCGUCAUUAACACAAGUGCCUCGGAAGGAGAUGCACAAGAUGGCUCCCUCCCCUGCAGCUGGGGAGAGACAGCUGCCACUCUACAUUAAAAAGCCAGUUCAAAGAAUCAGAUAUGAAAUCUUGCUCUUCAGGGCACCAAGCGGACUCGUGUGAAUAGUCAUCACUGUUCCCAGUCGAUCUUGGGUAGAAUAAAUCCGUCCCCAGACUCCUGGACUCAUUCGUUCAACAAAAGGGAUCCGAAGCCCUCCUGGUCCAACCUGAACUUCUCCUUUAGAUCCUUCAGUCUUCAGUGUGAAACAAGAUAUGGUCAUCUCCAAAGGGUUCUUAUUUUCCCUCUUGUGCUUUUCAACAUUUCACAACAUUUUACAGUGAGUACUUUUGGGUUUUUUUAUUUUUUAUUUUUUGAGACAGACAGGGCCUCACUCUAUUGUCCAGUCUGGA